rnacentral:rRNA from 1 species
UUGGAGGGCAAGUCUGGUGCCCGCAGCCGCGGUAAUUCCAGCUCCAAUAGCGUAUAUUAAAGUUGUUGCAGUUAAAAAGCUCGUAGUUGAAUUUCGGGGUUAGUAGGUUGGUCAUGCCUCUGGUAUGUACUGGUCUCACUGAUUCCUCCUUCCUGAUGAGCCGUAAUGCCAUUAAUUUGGUGUUGCGGGGAAUUUGGACUGUUACUUUGAAAAAAUUAGAAUGUUUAAAGCAAGCUAACGCUUGAAUACAUUAGCAUGGAAUAAUGAAAUAGGACGUUCGAUCCUAUUUUGUUGGUUUCUAGGAUUGACGUAAUGAUUAAUAGGGAUAGUUGGGGGCAUUAGUAUUCAAUUGUCAGAGGUGAAAUUCUUGGAUUUAUUGAAGACUAACUACUGCGAAAGCAUUUGCCAAGGAUGUUUUCAUUAAUCAAGAACGAAAGUUAGGGGAUCGAGGACGAUCAGAUACCGUCGUAGUCUUAACCAUAAACUAUGCCGACUAGGGAUCGGAUGAUGUUAAUUUUUUAAUGACUCAUUCGGCGCCUUACGGGAAAC